CAGAUCGAUACAGCAUGCGCGCUCACUCUUCGACAACAAUUCCGCCGGGUUGGACCCGUGCUGAUUCUGCGGUUGCGAAAUAUGUCACGGAGAAAAGUCUCGCGUUUUCUGUCGCGUCACAACAUCGACAGUAAUCGAAACCUACUCGUUACGUAAAUGGAAAAAGUGCGAAUGAUUAAUGACAGUGUAACGUACAAUUGCUACUGUUUCAUUUAUCGUUAAUCUUCAUUAUAAAUUUGAAACUUAAUCGUGUCUGCAAGAAUUACACAACAUGGGGACUAGAUUCGCAGCUUUUGCACUGAAGUUGACCAGCCUCCACGACUAUUAUCUAAGACUCCUGCAUGGGAAUCAACCGAUUCCCUCGGGUUUGGACAUGGCAAACACAGUGAAAUUCUGUUCCCAAAUGCUGCUGUCGUUACUGAAGGAGGUCCGCGAGGCUCCUCUGGAGAUGGUGAAAUCGGAGAAGUGCGACGCGGAACGCAUGGCUCUUUACCCGAACUUGGACUACAAACAACUGUACAACGCCCUCACUCAGCUGAUCGACGUAAUCCCCGCCAUUCACAUCGGUCUGCAGGCAUUCGGCCAGGCGCUGCUGCAAUGCCUCGCGUGUCUCUUGCCAUUUCUGGAUCACGACAUGAUCGACAACAUUCCUUAUUUGACGGCAAGCACGAUCUCGGUGCUUCCGGUGGAACAUCAUCAGGAUAUCGUUAACAAUCUCUGCUUCUACAUUCUCCCGUUCACAAUCACAAGAAAAACUGAGGACGGCUCGGAAAACGCAGCAAGUCAGUCGAUAGCCGCGGUCAUCAUGAUGAUUUUCCAAUACUCCAGCAAUCCAGCACAUCAUUGUCAGCUGUUGGAAUGCUUGAUGGCGUUGAAACCAGGUGUUGUAAAGGACCUUCUUUGCGUGAUUGCUUACGGCACGGCACCGGCAAGAGCGUCGGCUGCUAAAUUGUUGUUCUACUACUGGCCAUCCUUCAACCCUAAUCUCUUCGACCGUCGGGCAGUCUUAAUGAAAUUCGCGAAUGAUUUGACACCGUUCGUCUGUCAGAGAGACUCUUGUCCUAACGCUGGCAACGCGGAGGCUGGCAAAGUUUGCUAUGACCAUCGAAUUUCUAUCACGUUCGCGAAUGAGACACCGCCACCCUUGUAUCUUUGUAUCGAAUGCGCCAACGAGAUACAUAGGACGCAUCCAAAUAUGUUCUACGACAUUUUGCAUCCUAUGCAACAGGUGUCAAUGGUAUGCGAAAACAAGAACUGCAGAGCGACGGACAAGUCAGCGAUAAGUGUCUGUUUCUCGACGGAAUGCGCGAGUUACAACGGGAAUCAUCCGAUUCGUUACUGCGAGCAGUGCCAUAAUAUUCGGCAUAACAAGCGUCGAGGAGGCGAUCAUGUCUAUCACACGGCCCUGCCGCAUAUCUCGAAGAUGGAUUCGCAAACGCAGACGUAUAUGAUCCAGGCGAUCGUCAGUUUGCUCUAAUCACGUUCAAUGGAAAUAUCAAAUUUCAUUAAAUCAAUUGAAUUCUAUAAUGAUAAAGUUCCAUUAAACGUGGUUAAUCAAUAUGCUCCAUAUUAUGGUUUCCAAAUAUUCAGAAACGGACGAGAUGCAUGCGGUCGUAAUACAACUUAAAACAAGAGUCCUAUUCAUUUCUAUUAUAAUAUUGAAUUAUUCAUUUAUGGAAUUAUGUUCUUAAAUUCAUUAAAUGGAAUGUGAUCUUCAUCUAUCCAUACUAAACUCGUUAAACACCCAAUUACUGUAUUAAACUUUUUUCGCUAACGUCAAUAAUUAAUUAAUAAAUAAAAUUGUUUAUUGCAAAACCUUCGUCCAUGCAAGAAAUAUUUCAGUCAAUUAUUAGUACACUUUUUGACAGAGUGAACUUACUAUUCUUUCUUAUACUGUAGUCCAGUUAUAAGUAUCGAUUAAUACUUAUAUCGGAAUAAAAAAAUUUUUACAAUUUGUGUUUCCUUCCCUUUAAUUAAAUCAACGUUUCAAGCCCUUAAUUAAUGUAUUUAUCAGUCACGUCGCGUGCAUCUCGAUCCGUGGCCACGCUAUCGCUCCCAGGCUUCAAAGGUCUCUCAAAAUCCGCGCACUGAUAAACUAUUUUUCAAUCUGACAAUUGUUGAAACGAUUUAAUCGAAAGUAGAACAUUAGAACUGUAAUUGGAGGAUAAAUAUGAGAGAGACGUUUGAGGCCGGAUGACUGGCUAGCUGGACAAGUUUUUCAAGCCAGCGAGAGAAAGACAUACACGUGACUACGAACCACAUUCUGGCUCACGGUAGAGGCAUAUAGGAAAAGCGCACCUUAAAAGUUGCAAUGCGAGGACACCGCGCUGUAUUCACGUCCUGGAUACGAAACACCAGCACUGCACACCCGGUACCGUUCCCCCAACAAAAAGCGAGACACACUGGUAUGCUGCAUGAACAUGGGACUCAUGGCUAACGGAACACUAAUCACAAAUAUUUAUUCCUUUCUGUUUUCCUGAUUAUUUCACUCUAAAAUUAACAGAGUUUCACUUUUACGUAUCUUCUGAUAGAACUCUGCAAAAGACUGAUUUCUCUAACGAAUUCUAGAAUCUCUUUUUUAUUUAUUCUAUUGACGUCUAUCAGUUGACUUUCACAAUCAAUUUUUAAUGAACACGUUACACGUAGUCACAACUGCAACUAGCAUGAUUCCUCACUUAAAACGCAGAACACAGAACGAUUGAAAUACGAAUUCUCUUUGAAUAUUCAUCUGAAAGAUUUCAUUUCUUCCUACUAACUUCUUCUAAUGUAAUCGUAAUUGUAAUCACGAUCCGAAGUCGCGUCUGAUCAAAUAAACUUUGUGGUCGACAUGUUACGAAACGAUCAGGUUUUGAAUAUUUUAUAUUUUUCAGCAACAUGAUUGAAUUAUUGAUCGACAUUGUCUAUUUAUCUAAUAUAAAACUUGCUGGAUUUUUUCACGAUUUUAUUACUAUUGUAAAAUAAUUAAGUAUGAUUCAGAUUGUCAAAUGAUCUGUGAAACGUUGCUGAGGGUGAUCGUGAAAGAAUUCAAACCACCAUUGAACGUGGAAACUGCGAUUCUUCGACGUUCGAUGCUAUUUCGUUUGAUUGGUCGUCUUAAAUCGCUGAGAAGAAAUUUCAAAUGUAAAUUGGGAAAUGUAUUAUUAAGGAAUUCAAUAUUCAAUGUCUUAAAUAAAUUAAGAAUUCAACAUUAUCAAUGAGUGACAUAUUGGAUCUUACGAAUUCUAUAAUAUUAUCAAUAAAUUGAUUAUUUAAUUUAUUAAUUAAUUACGUAUUUAACAUAUUCAUAUUUAACAUAAUUAAAAUUUUGCCAUUGUUUCAAAUAUUAUCGAUCCAUUAUAUCAUUCUAACACUUGCUACUAUUUUUCAAGAACUUUCAACGACUUGAUGAAGUAUAUUAAGCAUAAUUUGCAAUUGGCUGAUAAAAUAAAUAAUACUUAAUAAUAUUAUAUUUGAUAUUGUCUAUAAAUUGCGAUUUCAAGCGACUACUUGUCAUGGAGAAUGUCGAUUGUAAAAAAGUGAAGAUCUCUUUCAAAAUUCAUGCUCGAAAAAUUGCGGUCACAAGAAUGCGACCACAAUCGGACGCGGCCGGGGAUCGCGUCCGUCAUCCCACUGACCACGAUCCGUCUCUGCUUGCAGCCUGCUUAAGGAAGCUGAACCGCUAAGAUUCCCAGGGAGCGGUAGCGGUGGCGGCGGGAGCGGCGGGGGUGCCGGUUCCGGUAGCCAAUUCGACUCUGC